ACUGUAUGUAAGGUUCUAUCUACAAAAACAUGAUGCUCUGAACACUCAAUGGUUUGAAUGGUGGCAGCAAUUUUUUGCUUCUGUUCUUUUGAACUUAAAUUGAAUUUGGGUUAUUUGGAGUACUGAACAUUAAACAGAACAGGGCUAUGUCAAUAACUCAAUUUUGACAAAAUUGCAGAUAGAACCAUAUAGUCCCAAAUUCUCAAUUUCUUAAACUCUGAGAAAUUCUGGUUUAAAGUACAUUACUUGUAUUAUUUAUUUUCUAUAGUAACUGCCCAUCCUAGAUGUGAAAGAAUAUUGUUCCAUCUUCCCACUCCUGAAAAACAGUUUGAUAUCUGAAGUUUCUCCAAAUCUAACUGAAGUCGUUUUUCUAAGUGUCACCCUGAAAAUAAUAGACCUAUAUUUCAUGCUUUACUUCCUCACAUAGACACCAGUCUGUGAAAAACAAUAAUUUGUUUCCUCUACAGUAAUGUCAAUGCCAUCCACCGAAGACUCGUACUUAACAUCAGCGUACAGCAUGUAUAGAUCUGAAGACGUCAGUAGAUUACUCUACAGAUUGGAGCGAACCGUCUUCUACCUGGUGAAAAUUGUUAAUGCAAUGUUCUUCCUCCUGUGCACCAUCAUUGCUGUGUUUAAUUUCAAGGUUAACAAAAUUCGAGGUAAAAUUCCGGUCUCUUUGGUGAGAACAGAUGUGUGACCAUACAAUUGUGUUUUAAGUUCCAUUAUUCACCAGCGAGAUGUUUUUUUUGUUUGUUGUUACAGCCAAACAUUUAUUUCAAUCGGAAUGUUUUAUUCAUUUGUUUUACUGGUGAUUGAAGCUAAAACUACACUGUGUGCACAAUUAUUAGGCAAGUGAGUAUUCUGAUCUUAUCAUUAUUGCUAUUCACAUUUUCCAACUCCAAACCAUGUAAACUUGAAUGCUUAUUGGAUUUAAUCAUUUCCAGGUGAUAUGUAUUUGUGUGAUGAGGGAGGGUGUGGUGAAAGUGAAAAACAUGUGUAUAAUUAUUAGGCAGCUUCAUUACCUUAGGUAAAAUGGGCCACAAAAUGUAUUUAAUUAACUGACACUGAAAAGACAAAAAUGGUAAAAUGCCUUUCAGACGGAUGAACACUCUUGAAAUAGCUAAACUAUUGAGGCGUGACCACCGGACAAUCAAACGUUUUGUUGCGAAUAGUCAACUGGGGCGCAAAAAACCCACGGAGAAGAAAAGGCGCAAAUUAACUGCAAAGACUUGAAGAUAAUUAAACGUCAAGCUACCAGGAACCCAUUAUCCUCCAGCUACCAGGAACCCAUUAUCCUCCAGCUACCAGGAACCCAUUAUCCUCCAGUGCCACCAUAUUCCAGAACUGCAACCUACCUGGAAAGUCCAGAAGUACAAGGUGUCAAGUGUUCAGAGACAUGGCCAAGGUCAAGAAGGCUGAAACACCAUCACCACUGAAUAAGAUUCACAAGUUGAAGUGUCAAGAUUGGGCCAAAAAAAUACCUGAAGACAGAUUUUUCAAAGGUUUUAUGGACAGAUUAAAUGAGUGACUCUUGAUGGACCUGAUGGAUGGGCCCGUGGCUGGAUCAAUAAUGGACACAGGGCACCACUUUGAGUCAGGAGCCAGCAAGGUGGAGGAGGGGUACUGGUAUGCGCUGGGAUCAUUAAGGAUGAGGUAGUUGGACCUUUUUGGGUUGAAGAUGGUCUGAAACUGAACUCCCAAACCUACUUCCAGUUUCUGGAAGAUACUUUCUUCAAGUAGUGGUACAGGAAGAAGUCCUCAGCAUUCAAGAAGGCCAUGAUCUUCAUGCAGGACAAUGCUCCAUCACAUGCAUCCAAUUACUCCACUGCUUGGCUAGCCAGCAAGGGCCUCAAAGACGCCCGAAUAAUGACUUGGCCCUCUUCCUCACCUGGCUUAAAUCCUAUUGAGAACUUGUGGGCCCUUCUCAAAGGUGAGAUUUACAGUGAGGGAAGACAAUCCACCUCUUUGAACAGCAUUUGAGAGGCUGUGGUUGAAAAGAAGGGUUGCUAUAUUGAUAACUGAAUAUUUACUGAAUAAAGUCCAAAAUGUUUAUUUAAUUGUCAUUUUGCGUUACUUAUUUGUUACACUUACUCUAAAAAUUGAGAAUAAACAAGUGAGUUGGGAGAAAUUACUUUUGUAAUUUAGUUGCCUAAUAAUUGUGCACACAUAUUCCCCUGAGAAAGACAAAACUCACUUUUCCUUUGUUAAACAUUCAGAUUUGAGGUUCAGUAACAUUUUGGAUUGACGGAGAGCAUUGUGUUUGUGUUAUGACUUGAGUGAGGACCCAAAAGCGGUUUAACAAAAACAGAGUCCUUUAAUGUAAAAACACAGGGAAGACAUAGAUCCUCUUCAGAUGUAGAAAAUGGCAAAAUAGACAACCCUCAGAGAGGGCGACAAAUGAAACAGAAAGUCCUUCUGAUAUUUACAAAAGAGUCCCCUUCUUAGCAGCAGAGGAGAAUAGCUGGGUUGCGGCGACAGACUGCUGGUCUCUCUGGGUAGGCGCGGGUCGUAGCGGACAGAGGUACCUGAUAACACGUAGCAUCAGAAGAACAGGCAGAUUCCGACAGGAUGGGACAAGGGUGAAGCAAACAAGACGAUAGUUUGGUUCUGGCAUGAGAAACUCAAACGAGAAUCUGACAAAGAAAGAAGCAGGAACAGAGAGAGAAAUAGAGACCUAAUCAGAGGGAAAAAGGGAACAGGUGGGAAAAGAGUGAACGAGGUAGUUAGAGAAGAUGAGGAACAGCUGGGGGAAGGAGAGGAAGAUAAGGUAACCUAAUACGACCAGCAGAGGGAAACGGAGUGAAGAGAAAGAACAGGAACAAGACAUAAUAUGACAAUACAUGACAAAUUGUGGAGGACAGGCUCGUGGUAAUGACUGAAGCGGAAUAAGUAGAACGGUAUCAAACACAUGGUUUAUAUGUGUUUGAUGCCAUUGCAUUAGCGUCGUUCUGGACAUUAUUAUGAGCUGUCCUCCCCUCAGCAGCCUCCUGUGUUUGGAGCAGUAUGGAAUUGCAGUUUCUUCAUCCUAUGUAAUGUAUUUUCAGCGAAUUUGGUUAUGCUUUGUUUAACCAUGUUCAGAGAAAUUAGUAGUUGAAGUUGUUAGUGUUACGGUUUUCUAGUGGUGAUGAAGGAGAGUCGGACCAAACUGCAGCGUAUCGAUUUCGAUCCAUGUUUAAUACAACAAAGAAACACGAACUUACAAAAAACAAUAAACUAAACCGAAACAGCCUAUCUGGUGCAAACUAACAGAGAGUACACAUAGGACACUAAGGACAAUCACCCACGACAAACUCAAAGNGUACCUGAUAACACGUAGCAUCAGAAGAACAGGCAGAUUCCGACAGGAUGGGACAAGGGUGAAGCAAACAAGACGAUAGUUUGGUUCUGGCAUGAGAAACUCAAACGAGAAUCUGACAAAGAAAGAAGCAGGAACAGAGAGAGAAAUAGAGACCUAAUCAGAGGGAAAAAGGGAACAGGUGGGAAAAGAGUGAACGAGGUAGUUAGAGGAGAUGAGGAACAGCUGGGGGAAGGAGAGGAAGAGAAGGUAACCUAAUACGACCAGCAGAGGGAAACGGAGUGAAGAGAAAGAACAGGAACAAGACAUAAUAUGACAAUACAUGACAGUUUGUUCAACAAUCCUAAGGAAUACAAUUUGCCUAAUAAUUGUUGCCUAAUAAUUGUGCAUGCAAGUGUAUUUACCACAACCCCACAAUCAUUUCCUUCCUCUUCCUCCAUAGGCUACCAAAUAUCUCUAGGUUCAUACAUGAUUAGCCUUUCGAAUAUUUUAUGAAUUGUAUUGAUGCAGUAUACAAAAAUAUAAAAAAAUGUAAGUCUCUUUUUUCCCCUCCAAAGUAUAAAGUUGCCACAUGGUUUUAUUCCUUGGUCUCCAUAAUAUUACUGGUCCGCAGAAAUAUAUGAACAAACUGAUUUUCUGUUUCGUUUUGCUCUUUUGUCACUGAUUUAAUUCAAUAACCAGUGUUGAAUUGUUUUGAAUGACUAAUUACCACUGUUAACCUACAUAAAUGGAACACAUGCAUGUUUAGCUAAUAAAACGUUUUAAAGACACUUUAGGCUACUUAUUGUUGGCUAUGAACAUUUUGCAAAUGUCUUGUUCUUGCUGAUGGUUGAAUACUGCUACUCUACCACCAGCAUGAUGUCAUUGUGCGGUCCUAUAUAUGACAUGUGGAAUUCACAAAUAGAUCAUGUUACAUAUAGUACAUUGUAUUCAAAUUGUGCUUUAGUACUGUAUAUUCCUCAUACAUAUCUUAUGGUACAUUGUGAUUUUUCAGACUUGUAUUUACCUUGACGAUAGUUGCUGUAUUGUUGUGAAUGAAAUGCUGUAACAAGAGUAAAGAACGAGUACAUAUUGACCUGUUUUCCCUACGGAAUGUUUGCACAAUCGAUGACACUGUGGCCCUGUUUACAUUAGGCUGUACUCUUUGACCUGCCACUGGUUUAUGACAUGGUCCACAAUUGUGGCUCUGAUUUCAUCAGGGACUCUUAUUCUUUGCCUUCUACCUCUUCCUUUAUUAUGUCUUCACCUGACACCACCAACACACAUUCUUACACAUCUUCUUAUUUCUCCUCCACCAGCAUGUAGCUGCUCUUCAGGGUUGUGAUGUUCCUCCAUGUUCACAAAUGGUAGUGAUUGUGCUGUGGGCAAGCUCCGUAUAUAUGCUUCCAAACUUGAUUGGUAAGAUUGGUAAGAUUGUGAUUCUUAUUUCAUUACGUCGUCACCUGGCAGGGUAAUUUGCCAGUUUAGCAGACAAUCACUAACAUUCCAUGUCAUAGAUGUUUAUAGAAUAUACAUGUACGCAUGUCUGACAGAUUUUGAUAAUUGAAUGGGUCACUUUGCAUGCGAUGGCUCACACGAUGAAAGGAUGUUUAGAAGCUGUGAAGAGUAUGACAAUUUCACUGAGAAUCAACUCAGCCGUUUUGAUCAGCAAGCCAUGUGCAUGCAGUUAUUGUGCAAAUUGUAGACAAUUGUAUUUACUCUUUUGCACAUGUGUCAAAACACGUGCAAUUUGCUUAAAUGAAUAAGAAAUUCAAAUCUGGUGUGAACAAGAAACUAAAUUGCUCAGAGAUUUGAACUUAUUGUUUUGAGAGAAAAAAAAUAUUAUCUUUCGAAAAUUGAGCCGAAGCGAUUGAGAAAAACUGUAAUAUGGCUGCUACAGC
rnacentral:lncRNA from 1 species